GGAAUUCGAUUCGGGUGUGACAAGGCCCGGGAACGUAUUCACGGCAGCGUGCUGAUCUGCCAUUACUAGCGAUUCCAGCUUCAUGCAGGCGAGUUGCAGCCUGCAAUCCGAACUGAGAACGGUUUUUUGCGAUUGGCUCCCUCUCGCGAGUUCGCUGCGCUUUGUACCGUCCAUUGUAGCACGUGUGUAGCCCUGGACAUAAAGGCCAUGAGGACUUGACGUCAUCCCCACCUUCCUCCAGGUUAUCCCUGGCGGUCUCCUGCGAGUUCCACCUUGCGGUAUGGCAACACAGGACAAGGGUUGCGCUCGUUGCGGGACUUAACCCAACAUCUCACGACACGAGCUGACGACAGCCAUGCAGCACCUCGACUGGACCCCCUUGCGGGGUAAAGAUGUUUCCACCUCCGUUGACCAGCCGUUCGAGCCCAGGUAAGGUUCUUCGCGUUAAUCACUA
rnacentral:rRNA from 1 species